rnacentral:rRNA from 1 species
AACGAACGCUGGCGGCAUGCCUAACACAUGCAAGUCGAACGGUCCCUUCGGGGAGAGUGGCGCACGGGUGCGUAACGCCUGAGAACCUGGCCUUAGGUUCGGAAUAACUCAGAGGAAUUGGAGCUAAUACCGGAUAAUAUGUUCGGACCGAAGAUGUAUCGCCUUUGGAUGGGCCCGCGUUGGAUUAGCUUGGUGGUUGGGUAAGGGCCUAUCAAGGCAACGAGUCAUAGCUGGUCUGAGAGGAUGAUCCGCCACACUGGGACUGGGACACGGCCCAGACUACUACGGGAGGCAGCAGUGGGUAAUAUUGGAAAACGGGCGAAAGCCUGAUCCCGCACUGCCGGGUGAGUGAUGAAGGCCUUAGGGUUGUAAAGCUCGUUUAUCCGCGAUGAUAAUGACAGUACCGGGAGAAUAAGCCCCGGCUAACUCCGUG